GGGAACGAGCACCGCCGAGGCCGCCUUCUCCCCGCUCAGCCCCACACCAGAGGCCGACUUCCACCUCGGGUGGGCCCGCAGCGGCGGCGAGCGAAGGGCGGAGCAGCGGAACCGCGCAUGAGCGUCCCUCAUUCCCCGGCUGUAAGGCGCGAACCGCAGGGGUCGGGGCAGAGGCUUUAUUUUGGUGAGGGCGCUUCACCCAGACGCGCCACCCCCGCUCUUGGCGGCGGCGGCGGCGAGCGGAAGGCUUUCCUGCAAAACCGCCGUUCCCGCGCUCUGCGUUUGAAACUGCCGCCGCCGCGCUUCGCCCCCUCCCGCCGGGCCAGCCACCCGUCUGUCCUGAGGGCGUGUGAGGCGGGAGGAUGGCGACGAAGCUGACCAAAGCCCAAUACGAAGAGGUCGCCCGGUUCCUGGCCCAGGUGCCUCCGACCAGGCAGAGCCUGAGGAAACUGAGGGAGCGCUUCCCCAGUCAAUCGCAGUCCACUCUGCUGAGCAUCUUCUCCCAGGAGUACCAGAAAUUAAUCAAAAGAACACAUGCCAAACAUCACACUCCGGAGGCAACCGAGACUUACUAUCAAAGCAAGCUGCUUAGGUCAUUUUCUGACCUGUGCUGCAAAUAUCAGGGUCAGCAUGAAUGUGGAGCAUGGACUGAGAAUAACAGGUACCUUAAUGGAGUGAUAAAAAAUGCAGCUUCUCCUGUAUUAUUGGACCUGGCCAAUGAGGUGGAUUUUGCCCCAUCACUGAUGGCUCGAAUAGUGUUGGAAAAAUUUCUACAAGAACAAGAAGGAUCAAUCCCUUCCAAAACUCUUAUAAACAGUAUGCUGCGGGACCCUUCUCAGAUUCCAGAUAGAAUUCUAGCAAACCAGAUCUAUCAGUGUACUGUGAAUGACUAUUGUUAUGGACCGCUGGUGGACUGCAUCAAACAUGCAGUUGGACAUGAGCAUGAAGUCUUAUUGCAAGAAAUGCUUUUGGAGAAAAAUAUAUCUUUUUUAGCUGAAGAUCAGUUACGUGCAAAAGGUUAUGACAAAACACCAGAUUUCAUAUUAGAGGUGCCAGUCGCUGUAGAAGGUCAUAUCAUUCAUUGGAUUGAAAGCAAAGCCUCUUUUGGAGAUGAGUGUAGCCACCAAGCCUAUCUACAUGACCAGUUCUGGAGCUACUGGAACAGUAAGCCUUUUGAAGCCGAGGAAUUUUUCACAGCAAUAUUGACAGUGUUCACAUUUGCAUGAUGACAGCCAAGGAAUGGAGCAGUAAUUUUUGAAAUUGCAGAAGUAUUUAGAACACUGAUAAAAGCUGAAAUAUAUUUUUGAUGGAUUGAAGUUAAGCAUACAUGAUUUUUCCUGCUGUCAAAAGGCUCUGAAUUUAGUGAAUAUUUGCCUGCUGUGAGAAUGCAAGAUUAACAUCACAACCAUCACCCGGGCACCCAAACCCUGCAAUUUAAUAGCUUUUUAGGUUCUUUCCUUUUUCUAAACAGCAAUUAAUCUCAUUUUAGUACAAUUUUCUCGUUUCUGAAGUUGCUCAUUGAAUCGCUGUUUUGUUCAUAUUUGGCUUCAGCUCCUCUGCAUAGUCAUUAAAGUCCCAAUUAAUGUCACCUUUAGCUGAAGAGUACUCAUUUUUAUUGAGAAAAUGACAGUUGCUGCCAUGAGUAGUGCAGUGUAAUAUACAUUAAUUGCCCUGUAACACUGGUAAUUACGAGUUUUUCAAGCCUCUCAGUAAACUGUCAUGCCUAGACAAGACUGUGCUAAAAUAGAUUACUCAUUAGGGAGACCUGUCCUGUUUUCUGUUGGGUUCUUAGUGUUGGUUAAAAAAAAAAAUCUUGAGCUUGAACAAAUAGUUGCCAAAAGCAAUUUCCUACAACAACAUACUUCUGUUGGGUUCUCCACCUGUCACUUAAGUCUGCGGUCAGCAAAUAGACAGGGUGCAGCAGACUCAAGAGAAGCUGAGAUUUGGACAGUUUUUUUGCACGGUGCUCAGGAAUAAGCUUCAUAGUCCUUAAUUCAGCACUGUAGCAUUGUAUUGUGCUGUGUUAAAACAGAUACGUACUGCAUUAUGAAACAGAAAUUGGUACUGACAGGGUUUGGUUAGUAAAAUCAUAACAUCACUCACUGUCAGCUAUAUUGAACUUAUUAAACUUGUAGCCAAAUAGUUCUAAAUUCAGAAAUUAUCAGGUCUGUUGAAGAAUGAUAUAUUUGGGUGUUUUGGGGGGUGUAUCUCUUACACUUUUAGAUUAUAUAUCUGAAGAACAUAGUGCUAAUACUAUGAGUGAAAUAAUUGGUUCUCAGUAUCAGCCUUUAAUACAUGUUGUUAAAUAUAUGUCACACCACCAACUGAGCUGAAAAAUCAGGUGCUUCUAAUUUCAGAACGAAUGUAUUUUUCCCUCUCUUUCCAGAGCAUUUCUUGUUUUUCCAUUUUUUAACAUAAUCACUUUUAAAGGCACGGCAGUGCUGAACUGAAAACCUUUGUUUUAUCUUUGUUAUAACACCUGCUUUAGGCAAUCUGCUCCCUUUCCUCCCCACCCCCCAAAUGAAUUUUGUCACAGCCUUUCUUAUUCUCUGAUAGUGAUGAGCUAAUGAAAGUAGAUAGUACAAUUUGUGCUGACCAGGUAGCAACUGCCAGCGUACAGCUGAGGAUAGUUUAAAGAAAUAAAUAAAAUAUAGCACUAUAUCACUGAUUUACCCAUUACACAACAUUAAUAGUGAGAGACCUUGGUGUGUUUAUCUGUUUGUAUUGGUGUGCAUUUAUCGAAUUGUUUAUGACAAGACUAAUUGGGGUAAUUGUAGACACUGAAAUUACCUGUCAACUAUAUGUAACCACACUCCCUUUCUUUCUGACAAAUGAUGACAACUGAGGGACCCCGUAGCAUUACUCAUGAUGGCUUUUCGAGUGGUAAUAAGGACAAUAGGGGCCCUGGCUAAUUUGACAUGGACAGCCUUCACAACAAGAAGCCAGCUAAAUGACUUGUCAGUAGGGGAAAGAAGUCGGAAAAGUAAUGGAGUCCCCCAUGGCGCUCUGACAGGGAGAUGAGGCAAUUUCAACGGAAAGUGAAAAGGCUUCAGUUUGUCAAGUAUUUAGAACAAUCAGAGAACAGCUAGAGGCUGGAACCUGACAAUAAAUUUGUGAACCAUGGUAGCAGUUUCAUAUAGGUCAGUUAUUUCAUAAUGGUUAUGCAGCUUUUAGAGGUUUGUGCUUUCGUAGUGUACUUCACAUCCGCCAACUGGUGCUUUGUCACCUUAAAUUUGUGCUUUGCUUUUACACAGUGGGAAUAAUAGUUAAGGUUACAGAGUAACAGAAGUGUAAGACAGCAUGGUUUUCAGACCCCCAAUAUACUGAAAAAUAAACAAAAUCUGGAUAGUAAUCCUGUGAUAGCAUCCAUUACAAGCCAGAGGUGUUAACACAGAGUGGUGGACUGCAACUUUCUCAUUUGUGUUUUAUUCAAAGCUUUCUUUUUUCUUCUUUUUUCUUAAUUAUUAAGGGUCAAUUCCUGAUGCUUUUUUUCUUGAACUACAUUCCAAUUUUUAUGGUUUGCAUACCUGUGGUUACAGACAUGUAUAACUAAUUACACCACAAAAAAACUUGCAUUUGUUUAAUGUUUUGCUGAAAGACUGGAACAUUAAAUAGAAUUAUUAAAUCUGAACUAUUUAUAUUUUGAGAUUAUCAUAAUCUUGCUUUCCCCCUUAUUUCCCUUAAUUAUUAUUUUUUUAUAUAUUCUUUUGGCGUUCAUUUAUUGAUAAAUACAGAGUAAUUUUAUAUAUCUGUCAUUUGUAUGGUUUGGCUGUAUAUUCUGAUCUGGAUUCUCAUUUUACCCCUUUUCUUAGAUUUAGUGAACACUUUCCCAAAGCAAUCAGCAGCCAUCUAUAUUUGCUUAUGUAUUUAUCCUGUAUACCAAGGAGCAGCCUUAUCCUCUGACUACUGAUAUAACCAAAUUGGCACAAUCCACAAACAAUAAGGAGGUAUCAAGAGGCUUGGGCAAAGUCCAAACUACUAAAAAUAAAAAAUAAAAUUAAGGGGAGGGGAGCCCUGUGAGAGAACCCCAAUGAGGACUGAGAAUGCUCAGUGGCCAGCAAAUGCUGGCAACUAUUGGUGGGAGAGGAAGGAAAACCAGAGAGAAGGGCGAGGGGAAUGCAGUAUCAGAAAUAGGAUAUGAACCUGCCUCACUGGAACGCUGAAUAGGAGCACUCCAUACUGCAAUAUUUGGUCCCGGACUAGUUAUCUAUUGGUAUGGCUUUAUCGAAGAGUUGGACUGUCAUCGCAAUCGUGGUAUCUUGCUCAAAGACUGCUUCCCUACAGACAUAGUUA